UACAGGGGGGGCAAGCGUUGUUCGGAAUUACUGGGCGUAAAGGGCUCGUAGGCGGCCAACUAAGUCACACGUGAAAUCCCCAGGCUUAACCUGGGAACUGCGUGCGAUACUGGAUGGCUUGAAUUCGGGAGAGGGAUGCAGAAUUCCAGGUGUAGCGGUGAAAUGCGUAGAUAUCUGGAGGAACACCGGUGGCGAAGGCGGCGUUCUGGACUGUCUCUGACACUGAAGAACGAAAGCCAGGGGAGCAAACGGG
rnacentral:rRNA from 1 species